rnacentral:rRNA from 1 species
UACGGAGGAUGCAAGCGUUAUCCGGAAUUAUUGGGCGUAAAGCGUCCGCAGGUGGCACAUCAAGUCUGCUGUUAAAUACUAGGGCUUAACCCUGGAGCGGCAGUGGAAACUGAAGUGCUAGAGUUCGGGAGGGGUAGAGGGAAUUCCCAGUGUAGCGGUGAAAUGCGUAGAGAUUGGGAAGAACACCGGUGGCGAAAGCGCUCUGCUAGGCUGAAACUGACACUCAUGGACGAAAGCUAGGGGAGCGAAUGGG